rfam:Triticum aestivum genome assembly, contig: Triticum_aestivum_CS42_TGACv1_scaffold_557968_7AL
AAUAUAUUACCUCCGUCCCAAAAUGUUUAUCCUGGAUUUAUCUAGAUACGGAUGUAUCUAACACUAAAAACACAUGUAGGUACAUUCGUACCUAAACAAAUCCAAGACAAGUAAUUCGGAACGGAGGGAGUAAAUA